AGAGUUUGAUCCUGGCUCAGAUUGAACGCUGGCGGCAUGCCUUACACAUGCAAGUCGAACGCGAAAGCGGGGCAACCCGCAAGUAGAGUGGCGAACGGGUGAGUAAUACAUCGGAACGUAUCCAGUAGCGGGGGGAUAACCUGUCGAAAGAUAGGCUAAUACCGCAUACGAUCUACGGAUGAAAGCGGGGGACCGCAAGGCCUCGCACUAUUGGAGCGGCCGAUGUCGGAUUAGCUAGUUGGUGGGGUAAAAGCUUACCAAGGCGACGAUCCGUAGCUGGUCUGAGAGGACGAUCAGCCACACUGGAACUGAGACACGGUCCAGACUCCUACGGGAGGCAGCAGUGGGGAAUUUUGGACAAUGGGCGCAAGCCUGAUCCAGCAAUGCCGCGCGUGUGAAGAAGGCCUGCGGGUUGUAAAGCACUUUCAGUAGAGAAGAAAAGCCUAGGGUUAAUAGCCCUGAGUCUUGACGUAACCUACAGAAGAAGCACCGGCUAACUCCGUGCCAGCAGCCGCGGUAAUACGGAGGGUGCGAGCGUUAAUCGGAAUUAUUGGGCGUAAAGGGCGCGUAGGCGGCCUGGUAAGUCAGUUGUGAAAGCCCUCGGCUCAACCGAGGAAUUGCGACUGAUACUGCCGGGCUUGAGUCCCGGAGAGGGUAGCGGAAUUCCCAGUGUAGAGGUGAAAUUCGUAGAUAUCAGGAGGAACACCGGUGGCGAAGGCGACUUCCUGGACCAAUACUGACGCUGAGGUGCGAAGGCGUGGGUAGCAAACAGGAUUAGAUACCCUGGUAGUCCACGCAGUAAACGUUGUUCACUAGGUGUAGCGGGUAUUGACCCCUGCUGUGCCGCAGUUAACGCAUUAAGUGCCCCGCCUGGGGAGUACGGCCGCAAGGUUAAAACUCAAAGGAAUUGACGG
rnacentral:rRNA from 1 species